CAUAGAGAAAGAGUGACAAGGAGUGGAGGAGCAUAGAGGGGAAGACACGAGAGAGAUGGAAAUGGAGAGGAGAUCAGUAGUGUAUGAUUCUGAAGGAGGUGAUGAUCAUGAGAGGCAAGGGACGGUGUGGACGGCGACGUCGCACAUCGUGGCGGCGGUGGUCGGCUCCGGCGUGCUGGCACUGGCGUGGACGGUGGCGCAGCUGGGGUGGGUGGUGGGCCCACUCGUCCUCUUGGGCUUCUCCUGCGUUACCUACUACACCUCUACCCUCCUGGCCAACUGCUACCGCUACCCGGACCCCGUCUCCGGCGCCGUCAACCGGGAGUACAUCGACGCCGUCCGGUGCUACCUCGGCCGGAAGAACGUGCUGCUCUGCGGGUGCGCGCAGUACGUGAACCUGUGGGGCACGCUUGUGGGCUAUACCAUCACGGCAAGCACCAGCAUGGUGUAAGUACACUAGACUCUUUAUCUUCUUUCUUUUUGCAAGCACUAGAAUGGACUAUGAUUAGUUAGCCCAGCAAAUUGAGAUUGAUUUGGGCGUGACGCAUGCAUAAAUAACGCAUCCCCUGGAGGCCGGAGAGGGAAUCCGUUGGCAUUCUCGCAUAAGAUUGCACUGCACGCAUGCACGCUGCACGCUAUGCGCGUGACACCACCACCAGCUUGUUGGUGGAUCCGUCACGGUUGCACACACCUGCACGUAUCUCGUGUGACAUCAACACACCUGCACUGGUAGCUCUAUCUAUCUUUUUUUUUUUUGAGCAUAUGCCGCCGCGGCCUCCGGAUGUCAUCUUUGAGCCUAAAAAUUCCAAGCUUGCCGUGGCAUCUACGAUCGAGAGGGUUUCAACACUAGCUAGGUGCGUAACCGUAUGGGGGUUUUGCUUUUGCUUUUUAAAUCUGAUUAAUUCAUUCUUUCUUUUUUAGUUGAGUUGUUAAUUCAUUCUUUCGAUAAAAAAGUAGAGUACUAGAUGAUGUCCAUUAUAAAACUAUACUACCUCUGUACCAAAUUAUAAGACAUUUUUGCAGAUUUUUGCACAGCAUAAACGUGCUGUAUUUUAAUACGGAGGCAGUAGUAAUUCAUUCAUCCAGAAUUUAUUUUUUGGGUUAACAUUCAUCCAGAUUUUAAAUGAUAAAUAUGCAUGUAUGUAGCGCGGUGAAGCGAGUCAACUGCUUCCACCGGUCGGGUUUCAGCACGACGGGAUGCAACUCGUCGGGGAGCACGUACAUGGUGCUGUUCGGCCUAAUGCAGCUGCUGCUCUCCCAGCUUCCCAGCCUCCACAACAUCGCCUGGCUCUCCGUCGUCGCCGUCGCCACCUCCUUCGGCUACUCCUUCAUCAGCCUCGGCCUCUGCGCCGCCAAGUGGGCCUCCCAUGGCGACGUGCGCGGCACCCUCGCCGGCGCCAGCGUCGACGCGCCCCGUGACAAGGCCUUCAACGUCCUCCUGGCCCUCGGCAACAUCGCCUUCUCCUACACCUUCGCCGACGUGCUCAUCGAGAUCCAGGACACUCUCAAAUCUCCUCCCGCGGAGAACAAGACCAUGAAGCGCGCGUCGCUCUACGGCCUCAGCAUGACCACCGUCUUCUACCUCCUCCUGGGCUGCACCGGCUACGCCGCCUUCGGCAACGAUGCCCCCGGGAACAUCCUCACGGGUCUGGCCUUCUACGAGCCCUACUGGCUCGUCGACGUCGCCAACGUGUGCGUCAUCGUGCACCUCGCGGGCGCCUACCAGGUGUUCGCUCAGCCCAUCUUCGCGAGGCUGGAGAGCUACGUGGCGUGCCGGUGGCCGGACGCCAAGAUCAUCAACGCCACCUACUAUGUGCGCGUGCCGGGCCGGCCGUCUUCGUCGGUGCCGGUGGCGCCGCUCAAGCUGGUGUUGCGCACCGUCAUCAUCAUGUUCACCACGCUGGUGGCGAUGCUGCUGCCCUUUUUCAACGCCGUGCUGGGGCUCAUCGGCGCGCUAGGCUUCUGGCCGCUGUCCGUCUACUUCCCUGUCAGCAUGCAUAUCGCGAGACUCAAGAUCAGGCGCGGCGAGGGGCGGUGGUACUGGCUGCAGGCCAUGAGCUUCGUCUGCCUCCUCAUCUCCCUCGCCGCAAGCAUCGGGUCCGUGCAGGACAUCGUGCACAACCUCAAGACCGCCACCCCCUUCUAGAAUGUCGACUGAUAAUUAACGAGUACUCCAUAUUUGUAGUCGACGGAUUAUUAACUCGACUGAUCUGAGGGACCCAUGCAAAGGUGGCCUCACUUCUCCUUUUUGGCGUUAAUUUGAUUGAUCGAUCGAUCGAUCGAUCAAGUGCAUCCUUUUUUCUUGCUGUUGAUUCCAACUUUGCAAUAGUACCUACGUAGCUUGCAAUUGUCCUAUCAAGUAAUGCAAGAUCGACUAAAUAAUGGGUCUACGUCUAGAAAACAGGCAACUGAAAACAAAAC
rnacentral:rRNA from 1 species